rnacentral:rRNA from 1 species
GGGGGGGGGGGGGGGGGGGGCUGGGGCGGGGGGGGGGGGGGGGGGGGGGGGGCUGGCGCGGGGAGGCAGCGGGGGGCGGGGGGGUGAUGCCUGGGAGGCUGGCUGGGGGGGGGGGGGGGCGUGCGGAGACGGGCGCUGAUACCGCGUACGUCCUGCGGGGGAGAGUGGGGGAUGUUCGGACCUCACGCUAUCACAUGAGCCUAGGUCGGAGUAGCUAGUUGGUGGGGUAAAGGACUACCAAGGGGACGAUCCGUACCUGGUCGGAGGGGAUGAUCAGUCACACUGGAACUGAGACACGGUCCAGACUCCUACGGGAGGAAGCAGUGGGGAAUAUUGGACAAUGGGCGAAAGCCUGAUCCAGCCAUGCCGCGUGUGUGAAGAAGGUCUUCGGAUUGUAAAGCACUUUAAGUUGGGAGGAAGGGCAGUAAGUUAAUACCUUGCUGUUUUGACGGUACCAAAAGAAUAAGCACCGGCUAACUUCGUG